CCCUUCUCAGAGUCACACCUGGAGAGUUUCCAGUACUCUACCAGUCUUGGCUUCGAGAGGGAGAGUCAAGCAGAGGCAUAGCCAUUCCAUUCCUAGCUUAGGCAGAGCUAGCGAGUGGAAGGCAAUCUGCUACAAGG